AUGACUAGCAGAAUAUCUGUCAGGAAAGCCAGAAGAACUCAGUUUUGGAAGGAUAAAAUGGACUCCACGCCCAAAUUGAAGAUUUUUGUGAUGUUGCUUUCUCUGGCUACUUUCACAGCCAUGGUGAUAAUGAAUGCUGGAAAUGCCACUGGGAUUUUCAAAGGUCUGUUCCGGACAACGCCUGGCAACAUCUCAGAGAAGUACAGCACCGACUUCACACCGGCUGGCUGGACUUUCCUCAUCUGGAAUGUCAUCUAUGCCUGGCAAUUGGCAUGGCUCCUGUAUGCACUGUCAGGGAUUUGCCGAAGAAAUGAACUUGGAUUUUUCUUCCUGAAGCCAGACUUGCUGCCAAUACCUUUUUACAUGGCAUGGAUUCUGAAUAAUGGCCUCAAUGUCGGAUGGCUGUUUCUAUGGGACAGAGAAUACCUCCUUCCAGCCCUGCUGUUGCUUGCAGCCCUUACUUUUACCACAGGUGCUGCUCUCUUCAUUUCACACAGAGCCUUGAGUAUCCAUUCCACAUGGUUCAUGAAGGGUCACCAAGCUGACCUCUGGCUCAUCCGGAUCCUGGUGCAGAAUGGGCUGGCACUGUAUACCACAUGGACCACCAUCGCCACUCUGCUGAACUUUGCUGUUGUGUUGAUCUACAAGUGGGAUGUGUCCAAUGAGACAGCAACAACUGCCUCUCUGAGCAUCCUUACCCUCAUACUUGUCAUGUGGUUCUGUCAGGAGAACUUCUUUCUUGAUAAGUACGUCCGUUAUAACCUCACGAUCUACCCAGUGAUCAUAAUAGCUCUGACUGGCAGCAUGUGCAAGGACUUCUCAGUUUCCUCCCCAACCACCAACGGCGUUUUUAUAGUUGUACUGCUGGCACUGACUUGUUUCAUCUUUGCUGUCCGGUUGGCAUUAGUCAUAUGGAAACACAGUAAUGAACCACUGGAAGCAUCAACACCACCACAGCCAUCAAGCACAGUGGCCUGA
rnacentral:lncRNA from 1 species